UGUCAAUGCCACUUAAAAAUAGGUGUGAAUGCCCUUUGGGGCUUAUUAAUUACAUAGCAAUGUGAUAUCGAAGACAACUGCAACAAUCUCAUUAGGCCUCACAUUGUUAGUAUAGUCCAGGGGGUCAUAUUUGCCCUCUCUGAGGGCCCGCCAUCGAUCAUGAAACUCCUCGCUCAUGCUGAAGACCAUCUCACUGAGGACUUUCCCUCUGGAUCCACCCAGUUCAACCUUCUCCAGUUUAAGAAAGUCCAGGGCUGUUGCAAAAAGUUCCUAUAGAUGAGGGGAGAAAAGCCACUGAUGAGUCACGGUGAUAGAAUGGAGAGCUAUGCUUGUCAACCCAUGCACCUCAAUCAUAAGCAGCCUUUCCAUGAUGCAGUCUGAACGCUGGAACACAAGUGAAGCCGGAAAAUCCCACAGCUUGAUGGUCUGAGUGUGUCUGUAGUACUUGGGGAUCCGCUGGCGCUCCAUCUUAAACAGCUCUUCAGGGAUUAGGUAGGCAAUGGCCUUGAUACAGAUGCACAAUCAUUGAGAAGAUCAGUUGUUUAGUUGCAGAACUCCUGCAGGAGGACCACCAUGCGUUGAGGAGUGCAGUAGUAUUGGGAACGGCUCCAGAUGAGACAGAGUGUGUGGAAAAGAGGAGGCAGUAGAGCAUCGACCUGUGGGAAACUCCUCUCUUCUAGGCUGCUGAUCAGUCUCCUCAGAGGGCGCAGAUACAGAUCUAUGUCCUCGG